rnacentral:rRNA from 1 species
ACAGUGGACGCGAGCAUCUGUGGCCAAGUUUUUAAGGGCGCACGGUGGAUGCCUUGGCACCAGGAACCGAUGAAGGACGUGGGAGGCCACGAUAGGCCCCGGGGAGUCGUCAACCAGGCUUUGAUCCGGGGGUGUCCGAAUGGGGAAACCCGGCAGUCGUCAUGGGCUGUCACCCGCUGCUGAACACAUAGGCAGUGUGGAGGGAACGCGGGGAAGUGAAACAUCUCAGUACCCGCAGGAAGAGAAAACAACCGUGAUUCCGGGAGUAGUGGCGAGCGAAACCGGAUGAGGCUAAACCGUAUACGUGUGAGACCCGGCAGGGGUUGCGUGUGCGGGGUUGUGGGAUCUCUCUUCUGUUGUCUGCCGGCAACAGGACGAGUCAGAAACCGUUGAUGUAGGCGAAGGACAUGCGAAAGGUCCGGCGUAGAGGGUAAGACCCCCGUAGUCGAAACAUCAGCGGCUCGUUGGAGAGACACCCAAGUAGCACGGGGCCCGAGAAAUCCCGUGUGAAUCUGGCGGGACCACCCGCUAAGCCUAAAUAUUCCCUGGUGACCGAUAGCGGAUAGUACCGUGAGGGAAUGGUGAAAAGUACCGCGGGAGCGGAGUGAAAUAGUACCUGAAACCGUGUGCCUACAAGCCGUGGGAGCGUCGCGCAAGGACUUGUCCUUGCGUCGUGACUGCGUGCCUUUUGAAGAAUGAGCCUGCGAGUUUGCGGUGUGUUGCAAGGUUAACCCGGGUGGGGAAGCCGUAGCGAAAGCGAGUCCGAACAGGGCGUUUUAGUAGCACGCUCAAGACCCGAAGCGGAGUGAUCUAGCCAUGGGCAGGUUGAAGCGGCUGUAAGAGGUCGUGGAGGACCGAACCCACCAGGGUUGAAAACCUGGGGGAUGACCUGUGGUUAGGGGUGAAAGGCCAAUCAAACUCCGUGAUAGCUGGUUCUCCCCGAAAUGCAUUUAGGUGCAGCGUCGUGUGUUUCUUGCCGGAGGUAGAGCACUGGAUAGGCGAUGGGCC